GACGAACGCUGGCGGCGUGCCUAAUACAUGCAAGUCGAGCGAAUGACGAGAAGCUUGCUUCUCUGAUUUAGCGGCGGACGGGUGAGUAACACGUGGGCAACCUGCCCUACAGAUCGGGAUAACUCAGGGAAACCUGGGCUAAUACCGGAUAAUCCUUCGAAUCACAUGUUUUGAAGUUGAAAGGCGCUUCGGCGUCACUGCAGGAUGGGCCCGCGGUGCUUUAGCUAGUUGGUGGGGUAAAGGCCUACCAAGGCAACGAUGCAUAGCCGACCUGAGAGGGUGAUCGGCCACAUUGGGACUGAGACACGGCCCAAACUCCUACGGGAGGCAGCAGUAGGGAAUCUUCCACAAUGGACGAAAGUCUGAUGGAGCAACGCCGCGUGAGUGAUGAAGGUUUUCGGAUCGUAAAACUCUGUUGUAAGGGAAGAACAAGUACGUUAGGAAAUGAACGUACCUUGACGGUACCUUAUUAGAAAGCCACGGCUAACUACGUGCCAGCCGCCGCGGUAA
rnacentral:rRNA from 1 species